rnacentral:rRNA from 1 species
CGGCACCUACGGGAGGCAGCAGUGAGGAAUAUUGGUCAAUGGACGGAAGUCUGAACCAGCCAUGCCGCGUGCAGGAAGACGGCUCUAUGAGUUGUAAACUGCUUUUGUACAAGGGUAAACCUGAAUACGUGUAUUCAGCUGAAAGUACUGUACGAAUAAGGAUCGGCUAACUCCGUGCCAGCAGCCGCGGUAAUAAGGAGGAUCCAAGCGAUAUCCGGAUUUAUUGGGUUUAAAGGAUGCGUAGGCGGAUUGAUAAGUUCGAGGUGAAAUGACCGUGCACAACUC